UUUUGGCUGCCAUGAUAAUAUCGAGAUUCAUUAUUAGUAUGUCUUUACAUAUAGGGAUACUUAUAUAUUGUGUGAUAUCCGAACGAAUAAAUCAAAAUUAAUAUUAGUCGCUUCAAUCAAUUAUGCCGCCCUUUAUUAGGCGUGUGAAAAUAACUCAAGGUUCAAAUCGAGACCUUUAUACUAUCGAGACAAUAAAAUUUUCGUUAAUGGAGUUUCUUGUUAGGUUGGUUUAAUUCAGUCCUAUGUAAACGAUAACCUGACCGAAACCGUAAAUCAGUCUUUUGAUAAAUCAGUAUGUUUUAAUAAAAUCAUUUAAUAACCGAAAAAUUAAGUUAACUCAGCCGUGAAAACAAAUAAUUCAGUAUUCAAAUAGCAUUUACCUAGCCUAAGAAACAAUUAACUCAGCCUGAGAAACAAUUAACUCAGCCUCUAAAUAGAUUUUACGUUGCCUUAGGAACCAUUAACUCAGUCUUCAAAUAUAUUUAACUUAGCCAACGAAACAAUUAACUCAGCCCUUGGAAACAAUUAACUCGUAGUCGAAGAGAUGCUUUCCAAAGGACAUGAAUUAUCUCGUAGUCGAAGAGAUGCUUUCCAAACAACUCCAACAGAUCAUUUUUUAUCUAUAAAUACAAAGCGCACAAUGCCACAAAUACAAACCCUCAUUAAGUGAUCAAGUGGCAAUGGAAGGAUCGAAAAGAUCGAUGAAACGUCCUAUGGAGGAUGUCUAUGGCGCGGAUGUUGUCGAAGGUUAUAACAAAGGGAAAAUGGAAACGACGGAGCAUUACAGGGCGCUUCUCCGCUUGGCCAAGGAACAAAGGCAAUCUGAAUCUGAAUGGAACGACGCCUCCAGCAAAGUAAAUUCUAUUGCUGCGCGCAUGGAAUUGCUUGAUGCCGUUAUCAAGGCCGACGGCAAAUUUGACCUCGUGGCUGAGUUGGAGACACUUACCGCUCAGCAUUGUGAAGCCGAAGCAGAGUUGAGAGAUGUGAAGGUCAUCGACCCUGACUGGUGUAAGCUUCAUGAAAAAUGGAUGCUGGAUGAUUAAUCUCAUGUCAUCAACUUCUCUUUUAUUUUUAUGUUUUUAAGACCGGAUUUUAUGUACUAUGUAACACACAUCAUGUUUUAUUUUCUACCUAUUCAUAUAACUCAGUCGUGACAUAAAUUAACACAAAUCAGUUUUUAUGCAUCAAUAACUCAGCAAGACGGUUCAUUUAUCCAGACCAGUGUAAAUCGAGACCAUUAUUAUGCGCGUGAUCAAAUUCAGUUGCCAUGAGUUUUUCGAUGUUUUCCUCGACUCUAAUUGGCCAGUAAGAUAUAAUUCAGCCAACUCAGUCGAAACAUGAUUCGCGACGGUUGGGAUUUCACGUGAAUUUUAAUAAAUCAAAUUUAAUAUUAGGCGUGAAAUAACAUUAACUCAGCUGUAAAAAGAAUUAAUUCAGCCUUCAAAUAGCAUGUACCUAGCCUAAGAAACAAUUAACUCAGCCUUGGAAACAAUUAACUCAGCCUUUAAAUAGCAUUUAAUCAAAUAUCAGAAAAUAACAUUAUUAUGCGUGUGAGAAUUUUUGGCUGCCAUGAUAAUAUCGAGACUCAUUAUUAGUAUGUCUUUACAUAUAGGGAUACGGCAAGCAUUCAUGUAUUAUAACUAACAAUAACUCAGCAAGACGGUUCAUUUAUCCAGACCAGUGUAAAUCGAGACCAUUAUUAUGCGCGUGAUCAAAUUCAGUUGCCAUGAGUUUUUCGAUGUUUUCCCCGACUCUAAUUGGCCAGUAAGAUAUAAUUCAGCCAACUCAGUCGAAACAUGAUUCGCGACGGUUGAGAUUUCACGUGAAUUUUAAUAAAUCAAAAUUAAUUUUAGGCGUGUGAAAAUAAGUCAAGGUUCUAACAAAUAUCGAGACCUUUAUACUAUCGAGACAAUAAAAUUUUCUUUAAUGGAGUUUCUUGUUAGGUUGGUUUAAUUCAGUCCUAUGUUUUAAUCAAAUCAUUUAAUAACCGUGAAAUUAAAUUAACUAAGCUGUAAAAACAAAUAAUUCAGUCUUCAAAUAGCAUUUACCUAGCCUAAGAAACAAUUAACUCAGCCUUGGAAACAAUUAACUCAGCCCUUAAAUAGAUUUUACUUAGCCUUACAAAAAUUAACUCAGCCUCCAAAUAGAUUUUACGUUGCCUUAGGAACCAUUAACUCAGUCUUCAAAUAUAUUUAACUUAGCCAACGAAACAAUUAACUCAGCCUAUAAAUAGCAUUUAAUCAAAUAUUAGAAAACAACAACUUAGCCAUAGAAUAUUAGUUUCGACAUACAACAUACU